UUAAGAUUGACUUUGAGUGUCCCUGUGUAAGAAUUUCCACAACAAUUUGGUGUCAAUGAAGAGGAUGAUUGAUUCUGCCUGCGGAGCUUUCCAGUGGGGUUCUGCGAGGAAAACCGAUGGCGCAUUUUAUGAAGCGUGAGGGAAAUUCCCGCCUGACCAAAAGACAGCGAGACUCGCGCAGACCAGACCCUUACUGUGGGCUGCCCAGGAGGAGACACAUAAUCUGUGAACAGUUAAGGGACAACAACUGAUUUCAGUUUUCAUCCUGGAGGAGACUGUGCAGGAGGCAGAGGAGGAAAGAACGGUUAGUACAGCAUGCCAAACUGACCCCUUGGUGCCAGAGUGUUCCUGUGCUGCGGUGGAGAAGCGGUCCACUGGGACCAUCACUAAAGAGCUCAGGGCCCAGCUAGAUUGCACUCACAACCAUCAGUAUACAACCAAGUCCUGCCCCUAUACGCCACAGAUGAAGCUGACGGAGAGUGAGAUCAGUGAAAACCAUAACUCGCUGUAUGAACCUGAGAGCUCAGAAUCACAAUCAUCACCUCAUCCUGAGAUGUUGAACUGUUGCACCCUCUAUAACCACUGUGGUUAUUAUUUUGAUGUAAAAAGGGCUUUUGUAAAAUGCAUUUGAUUGAUUGAUUGUUUGCUGUGCUGGAUGCUGUGUAUUCACUAACUCUCUGAGUGAUGGGACAUUUUUAUAGUAUCUGAAACAUAUUUAGGUGUGUAUUUAAUCUGCAUCUUAACUUCUUAAAGUGGCAAUCAGCAGUAGAAACAAUAACAAAGUGUCUCCCUGCUCCUCUUUCGGUAAAAAGCUGAGGGAUGGAGCUGGAGAAAUGUAACCAC
rnacentral:lncRNA from 1 species